rnacentral:tRNA from 1 species
GGGCGCAUAGCUCAGUGGAAGAGCGCCACCUUGACACGGUGGAGGCCGAUAGUUCGAUCCUAUCUGCGCCCA